rnacentral:SRP_RNA from 1 species
GCCAGGCACGGUAGUGCCUGCCUGUAGUCCCAGCUGCUCCACAGGCUGAGGCUGGAGGAUCACUUGAGUCCAAGAGUUCUGGACUAUAGUGCGCUAUGCCGAUCGGGUGUCCGCACUAAGUUCGGCAUCAAUACGGUGACCUGGGAGCGGGGGACCACCAGGUUGCCUAAGGAGGGGUGAACUGGCCCAGAUCGGAAAUGGAACAGGUCAAAACUCUCAUGCUGAUCAGUAGUGGGAUCGCGCCUGUGAAUAGCCGCUGCACUCUAGUCUGAGCAACAUAGUGAGACCGUCUCU